rnacentral:rRNA from 1 species
UUUGGAAACGGAUGGUAAUACCUCAUAACGUAUACUUAAGGCAUCUUAGGUAUACCAAAGAUUUAUCACUCAAAGAUGGGCUCGCGUCUGAUUAGAUAGUUGGUGAGGUAACGGCUCACCAAGUCGACGAUCANUAGCCGGACUGAGAGGUUGAACGGCCACAUUGGGACUGAGACACGGCCCAGACUCCUACGGGAGGCAGCAGUGGGGAAUAUUGCACAAUGGGGGAAACCCUGAUGCAGCGAUGCCGCGUGGAGGAAGAAGGUUUUCGGAUUGUAAACUCCUGUCUUAAAGG